rnacentral:lncRNA from 1 species
CUUUUACAAACUGAAUAUAGCUUGUACUCUAUAAGCAUUGUCCAUAACUAUUUGCAUUGAAAAGAUUUCUACAGGAAUGACAUACAUGCUCCUGUCAGUGAAGAGCAGAGAGACCCAUGAAGAGUUCUGUCUGGGAAAAGUUCAGGUUCAGCAUACAAAUUACACUAAAUGAAGAUCCGAGUUACGCAAAUCUAAGUCAUACACCAACAUCCAAUACCCAGCACCAUACACACUACCUCAAGCCAUGCCCAGCUGAUCUAAGGCAAGAAAUAUAUUCCUUUCCACUGUCUUUCCUUCCCUUUGUUUCUGCUGGGGAAGACUCUUGUUAUGCUUUGUUUGCCCUUUCUUACCAGCUGGAAAGGAAGAUGGAUUUAGACACAAGUAAACUAUGAGCUUCAAAGCCUGAUCUUCUGUAGUCUAGCCCUUGAUCUCUACUUGUGCUCCUUCUGAAGUUCAGCUGUAAAAGGAAGAAGCAAUGUCAUUUUUCUGCAGUGCUCACACUCAGAACAUCGAAAAUUAAGGAUGAAAUUUUGCAGUGAGGUACACAAGCAAAGAAUCUCAUCAUCAUCACGAUUAUUGAGAAGAGUAAAGUGAAAUGUAUGUGAAACCCCUUCAGGAAUGAGAGUAGAGGAAUAAUGUUACAGAAGAAAAGAAUGAUUUUGGAAACAUAAUAUUGUAUACUUUCACAUUAUUUUGAAUGCAUUAGGCCUUACAAAAA